AUCACUUCUCGGCCUUUUGGCUAAGAUCAAGUGUAGAAAUGUAUGUGCAGUACUUAUUUGUGCAUGCAUUUCCUGUUGCGGCACCAGGCUCACUGCAACUUGCUUUUUAAUUCCUAGCAGCUGUAAUGGUUAUCCCCCAUAAUAGUCCAUAAUAUGGGAAGUGCUGUAGAGCCUCUGCUUU